rnacentral:rRNA from 1 species
GAUGAACGCUGGCGGCGUGCCUAACACAUGCAAGUCGAACGGAAAGCCCCUGCUUUUGCGGGGUGCUCGAGAGGCGAACGGGAGAGGAAUACGAGAGUAACCUGCCCUGGAGUUAGGGAUAAGUUCAGUAAACUGGGGCUACUUCCGGAUAGGAGCUCCCGUCGCAUGGUGGGGGAUGGAAAGUUUGGGAGGUAGGGGAUGGAGUCGUGGCUUAUCAGCUUGUUGGUGGGGUAGCGGCUUACCAAGGCUUUGACGGGUAGCCGGCCUGAGAGGGUGACCGGCCACAUUGGGGAUGAGAUACGGCCCAGGCUGCUACGGGAGGCAGCAGUGGGGAGUAUGGCACAAUGGGCGGAGGCCUGAGGCAGAAGCGCCGCGUGCGGGAGGACGGCCUUCGGGUUGUAAACCGCUUUCGCCUGAGACGAAGCGUGAGUGACGGUAAUGAGGAAAGAAGCACCGGCAAACUACGU